AUGAACGUGGUUGAUCUCCUUGCCUCAGUCCCACUGCCUAUUUAUUGUAGAGAUUUGAGCCCGCAUUGUGGUGUGCAUCAUGGCCCCUAUCUUUCCAUGGAUUGCAACCUCAAGAUAGUGUUUUGGAACAUGCGUGGCCUAAACAGCCAGGCCAAAUGGAUUGUUAUGUGCAACAUGAUCUUUGAUGCAUCCCCAUUUAUUGUGUGCCUUCUACAAACUAAACUUCUUCUGAUAUCGUUGGAGAUUGUUCUCGAACGCUUGGACUUCUCUUCCAAUAUUUCUUAUUCCUGCCUACAAACAGUACCCGAGGUGGAAUUAUCAUGGCUUGGCAGCGUUCUUCCAUCGCUCUUUCUAGUGUACUCACCACAUCACGGCUUACGUUUAUCCCCUUGCCAAAAACCAUCAUUGGUGCAUUAUUGGAGUCUACGGACCCCAGGAAGACCAAGCAAAGAUCGAUUUCCUCUCGGAGUUGCAAUAUGA
rnacentral:rRNA from 1 species